UUGUCAAAUAAAGGUGAAAUUUUGCUCGUGUUUGGAUCAGUUUUCAUGAUAUACAAUCCAAAUGAUGACUCAAUUAGAUAUCCAGAGGUGACUAACUUCGAUGCCUGUCUUGAGGCGGAAAUCUACAUUGAAACCGUAGUUUCCCCCCUUUUACAAAAUGAACCAAGCACACAACAACAGUGAAGGCUGCAUAAGCUUGGAUGAAUGACAGUCCCGUGACUUACGACAUGAAAGUGAAAGCUAUGUUAGGAACAACUAAUUCAACACCCGCAGACUGGCAUUGAACGCAAUGAAGCAUGGGUUUUCCCAGUUUUUACUUUUCAUUGUGAUGUACUGUAUAGAUAGAUAUAUAGUGGACUUUGGAGUUCAAUUCCCAAAUUUUGAUUAAUAUGUGUCAGACAAGUUGAAAUGGAAGUCCCUAUAUUACCGUGUAUGCAAAUUAAUUUCAGCCACAAAGUUUUGUGGGCACUCUGCUUUA